rnacentral:rRNA from 1 species
AGAGUUUGAUCCUGGCUCAGGACGAACGCUGGCGGCGCGCCUAACACAUGCAAGUCGAACGGAGCUGAGAGGAGCUUGCUUUUCUUAGCUUAGUGGCGAACGGGUGAGUAACGCGUGAGUAACCUGCCCUGGAGUGGGGGACAACAGUUGGAAACGACUGCUAAUACCGCAUAAGCCCACGAUCUGGCAUCGGAUUGAGGGAAAAGGAUUUAUUCGCUUCAGGAUGGACUCGCGUCCAAUUAGCUAGUUGGUGAGGUAACGGCCCACCAAGGCGACGAUUGGUAGCCGGACUGAGAGGUUGAACGGCCACAUUGGGACUGAGACACGGCCCAGACUCCUACGGGAGGCAGCAGUGGGGGAUAUUGCACAAUGGGGGAAACCCUGAUGCAGCGACGCCGCGUGGAGGAAGAAGGUUUUCGGAUUGUAAACUCCUGUCGUUAGGGACGAUAAUGACGGUACCUAACAAGAAAGCACCGGCUAACUACGUGCCAGCAGCCGCGGUAAAACGUAGGGUGCAAGCGUUGUCCGGAAUUACUGGGUGUAAAGGGAGCGCAGGCGGACCGGCAAGUUGGAAGUGAAAACUAUGGGCUCAACCCAUAAAUUGCUUUCAAAACUGCUGGCCUUGAGUAGUGCAGAGGUAGGUGGAAUUCCCGGUGUAGCGGUGGAAUGCGUAGAUAUCGGGAGGAACACCAGUGGCGAAGGCGACCUACUGGGCACCAACUGACGCUGAGGCUCGAAAGCAUGGGUAGCAAACAGGAUUAGAUACCCUGGUAGUCCAUGCCGUAAACGAUGAUUACUAGGUGUUGGAGGAUUGACCCCUUCAGUGCCGCAGUUAACACAAUAAGUAAUCCACCUGGGGAGUACGACCGCAAGGUUGAAACUCAAAGGAAUUGACGGGGGCC